UACGGAGGGAGCUAGCGUUGUUCGGAAUUACUGGGCGUAAAGCGCGCGUAGGCGGCUUUGUAAGUUAGAGGUGAAAGCCCGGGGCUCAACUCCGGAAUUGCCUUUAAGACUGCAUCGCUCGAAUUGUGGAGAGGUAAGUGGAAUUCCGAGUGUAGAGGUGAAAUUCGUAGAUAUUCGCAAGAACACCAGUGGCGAAGGCGGUUGCCUGGAGCUUUGCUGACGCUCAGGCACGAAAGCGUGGGGAGCAAACAGG
rnacentral:rRNA from 1 species